rnacentral:lncRNA from 1 species
CACCCCUAGGCACUUGGCCAAGGGCAUGGUGUUAAAAAUCUUGGCCGUAGGGAAGCAGAUUCCACACCCCGAGGUAAUUACCUCGUAAUGCAAGUGGAAAAUGGGAGGUGGAAGCGUGGCCUGUGGGUGGUGGGUGAGUCAGGUAUCGGGAUGGGAAAGGGCACACUUUCUCUUCCUCCAACUCUAGGAAGGAGCACAAUAGCGAAGUGGGGGCCCGCAGCCGCUCUCUCGGGCCUGACCCAGCCUUCUGAUCCCAGCGACAUGGCACCUUUUGCUGAAAGCAAAUAUGGCUCCGGGUGCAGUUUAAACAACAAAGGCUGGGCGGAUCGUGUUUCCCGAGAGACCGCCUUCCUCUGGGAGUCCCCCUGAGUCUGGGGCUGAGCCACCUGGGUUUCUGAGAAAAUCUCUGGUGACAUUCAAAGCUCGAAGACGAUGUCCGGGUUCUAAAGAAAGGAGAAGUGAUUUGGAUCUGGAAAAGGAGCUGAUGCUCAGGCCAUUUUGAAAUGGCCUUUUAUCUUCCCAGUCACCUUUCUAGUUGUCCUUGGAGAAAAGCUGAUGGGGCUGACUGGCAGGUGACAGAUCCAAGAAAUUCUAGAGGGCAAAACCACCGUGUGUGGCUUGCAGCUGUAUCUCCGGCACAAAGUGGAUGUACAUUCGUGGGUAGCUGAACUGAGGGUUGACCACCUCUCCUAGAUAAGUCCUGCAUUCCACCAUGUUUACUUGUCUCAAGUCAGGUGUUUUGAUCCUAGUGGGAGGCCCAUGAAGACCUUUUUCAGGAUAUUCACACAUUUGCAACUGUAAGCUGGACUUCCAAACAUUUCUUUCUUUCUUUCUUUCUUUCUAAGCAGCUCUACUAAAAC